GAUGAACGCUGGCGGCGUGCCUAAUACAUGCAAGUCGAGCGAACGGACGAGAAGCUUGCUUCUCUGAUGUUAGCGGCGGACGGGUGAGUAACACGUGGAUAACCUACCUAUAAGACUGGGAUAACUUCGGGAAACCGGAGCUAAUACCGGAUGAUAUUUUGAACCGCAUGGUUCAAAAGUGAAAGACGGUCUUGCUGUCACUUAUAGAUGGAUCCGCGCUGCAUUAGCUAGUUGGUAAGGUAACGGCUUACCAAGGCAACGAUGCAUAGCCGACCUAAGAGGCUGAUCGCCCACACUGGAACUUCGACACGGUCCAGACUCCUACGGGAGGCAGCAGUAGGGAAUCUUCCGCAAUGGGCGAAAGCCUGACGGAGCAACGCCGCGUGAGUGAUGAAGGUCUUCGGAUCGUAAAACUCUGUUAUUAGGGAAGAACAUAUGUGUAAGUAACUGUGCACAUCUUGACGGUACCUAAUCAGAAAGCCACGGCUAACUACGUG
rnacentral:rRNA from 1 species